rnacentral:lncRNA from 1 species
GUUUACAGUUCGUUUACAUUACAUUUUACAAUAGUAUUCCCAUAGCUUGCCAGAGAUAGGAUACAGAUUGCCAGUCUUGACACCACACUCUCAGUUCCUCCAUUUGGAAUAGAGGAAGGACAGGGAUACUGAAGAAAUCAUAUGUUAAACUAUUCUUUGAUAGUGUUAACUUGGAAAAAAAGCACAGAAUUAUUUAAUAUUCAGAAAAACCAGAUUUUUUUUAAUCAGGAGAGAGAUAGUGUCCACUAUCUUUUUUUUUUUGGCCUGAAGAAAGAAUGAGGACUUUAAUAUGAAAAUCCAUAAGAUGUCACAUUUUAAACAAUGCAUGUUUUAAAAUGGGGAUUUAAUUGUGCACAACAUCAAAUUACAUAAAUUUAGUAUUUUCUGGAAAGUAUUGUUUAAACACUUAUGUCAUGAUCAAAAAGCUAUUAUGCAAAUCCUGUAAAAUAUACAGAGGUACUUGUAAAGGGGGGGGAGUUCAGGCAAUAGUCAACUCUAAAAAUGACAAAGGAAAAGAUCAAACUAAGAGUUGGGCUUCCUGAGAGGGAUCUUUAAUGUAAUGGGAGAAGCUUCUAAAAUAAACAUUGUCAUGCUCUAUCCAUUUCAACUUGGAGCCAUUGGACAUUGUCAUAGAGAUUGAACACAAAGUAAAUAUAAUCCGAUAUAAUGACAAAUAUGAGAUUAUAGCACAUGUAUAGGAAUUGGGAAAUGAUUGCCAUCAUUCCCAUGGCUAGAAAUAGUUUCAAAGGAAAAUUUGCAUUUUAAGUCUGUUCCUUUAAGAGUUCCCUAUCCCCAGAAGCGCUGGUCUCUUCUGAUUGGCUGGCUCAGUUUCUAGGUGGAGUUUAGCACUGGCUGAGGGAAACAAACAUGACUGCCUACUAUUCCCACACUGGCUUCACCCCUAUUGGUAGGCCUCGAUCUUCUUGUGGCCAGACCUGACUCCCAAAUCUUCUCAAAAGGCAGUGAUGGUGAACCUUUUAUAGGGGAAGAUGAUAUAAGAAAUGUCUUCAGGCACUUGUGGAGAACAGGAGAGGAGCAGUUAGGCCCCAUGUCCCUCUGGCUUUCUAGUAAUAAAAUUUGGGUGAAAUUUGUACUGGGGCCAAAGCAUGUGUACUCACAGAGAUGGGCUCUGAGUGCCCCCUCUGGCAUGUAUGCUGUAGUUAACCACCACAGUUCUAGGGGAUUUCCAAACUUUUAAAAUAUUUGCAUCAAUUGCUGCUCAGUUAAUUAAAAAUAUUAUACUUUUAAUUAUAGAUCAUUUAAAUAAUGUUAUUUUGAUGCAUAUAUGACUGUUUUCAUAUUACCUAAUUAAGACAGAACAUAUGGCUGAGAUUGCCAAGAAAGAGGUCCUUCUCUCCCAGUUCACCAUUUUGAGAAAAUGUCAAUGAGAACUAUUGUACUUACAAUAUAGAUUGUCUCAUCUUUCUUGUUAAAAUAAAAAUAUCAUUAUUUAAAUUUCA